GGGCUAUUGGAAAGCGGGGAGAGAAAGAAGAGAAGAAUAUCAUUCUAAAAAGGAAAAUCAAAGACUGAAAGUCAAGGAACAAGAGGAGAAGAGUGUUCGCCUUCAGUAACAGGAGGUGGAGCGAGUUAGGGAGAUGGUGCCGGUUCUCUGUGGAGCUUGCUUCUGUGCAUGAAUUCCAGAGAGCUUCUGCUUAGAAACCAUUGUCUGCCUAUGGAGUGGUCUUGCCGCUACUUGGUCAAUUUCCUCUUGCCAUGUCUUUGCACACAUGAGGCCCUCUGACCAGAGAAUCAGCUCCCAGCUCCUCUUUGUCUAAAACCCACUGACGCCUCUAGAACCACUUCAAAUGCCAGCAUCACCCUGAUUUCCCCAGUCUCUGCAU
rnacentral:lncRNA from 1 species